ACUUUCAGAUUCUAAUUCUUAUUGUUGGUUUGCUUCCCAAUCUUGAAAUUGUAUUGGACUCUCUGUCUGUUUGAUAAGGCUAAAUUUCACCAAUCUCUUGUCUACUUCAAAAACCAUUUCAUGUUCUGAAAAAUUAAAAUAAUUAGUUAAUUAAUUAAUAUGCAGUGUCAUAGUCCUUGGAUGGGUAUUUAUGAUAUCUGUGGGUUUCAAUGCUGCUACAAGGUAUUUAUGAUAUACUUUAUUUUCCCUUUUUUCAUUUUCUAGUGGUUUGCUAAGUAUGGAAUUAAUUUUUGCUCUUAAUGAAUUAAAUUCAUUACUUUUAAUUAAUUUUAAUUUACAGAAAUUUCACCCAUUGUCAAGGUCACUGGAUGAUAUAGAAUAUCAGAUAUUUCUACAAUACAAAACAAUAGAGAAUUAUGAAUAAAUUUAAAUAGAGAAUGACUUCAUAAGUACUGAUUAAUUUUCUUUUGAUUCAACUAUUUUCUGCAAGGCACAUUUUGGAAUCACAUAAGUUCACAUCCUCCUAUUCAAUCCAACAGACAAAGGGAUAGUUCUAGCAUACAUAAAUCCAGCUGAUAAAGGCGCAUCAGAGGUAAAAUGCCCAAAGUUUGUCAUUAUUCUUAUGCUUAUGUCAUAAACUUCUUGUUGAUAAAUGUUCUCUAGCCACACAAAAGACGGUUGACGGUCCCAUUGACCCAAACUGAAUACAUCCUCCUCUACGUAAUAAAUCAAGUACUCAAACUUCAUUGUCUCUCAGAAGAAAAUAAUGUUUUUACUCAAUAGAUUACUUUGAACAAUUGUAAAAGAGCUCAUAUGUGUUUAAUAGGCUAUAAAAAUGUAUUUUUAACAAAUUUUGCUUCCUGUAAAAGUUUUACUGAGACACUUUGAAGAGCUGGAGUUCAAGCUGAAUCAGUUUUAUAUGAAGGCAACACCUACACAAGUGUUCCUUCAGGUACCUGGUUGUUCCAUAUGCGUUUGUUAUUCCC
rnacentral:lncRNA from 1 species